rnacentral:sRNA from 1 species
UUUAAACGUUUGCUAUACUUAGUUCCGCUGCUCUCUCGUGUUUUUCUUGUUAUAAUUUCAGAGAAACACUCAUUGGUCCAUCUGAUCUUCCACCAACCCAAUCGUCACGGCUGUAAACAAGUUUACCAGGAGUGGGAGCUCUCCAGAUGUCUAUGUGGCUCACCAGUAGUGCUCAACUAUCUCCUAUUUGACAUUGUUUUUGCAUUUUAAUCUAUACUAGGUGAUCAAGCAGGUGAGCAUCUGUUCCCAGGGCUCACCAUUCUUGCUUGUAUUGUCUGGGGAUGCCCAACAAGGCAAUAAUUGAUGCCUGGCUCCCUUAUUGUAAGCAGCCGUGGCCUAAAUCGCCAAUAAAAUCAUUAUGAGGUU